GACAGAGGGUGCAAACGUUGCUCGGAAUCACUGGGCGUAAAGGGCGUGUAGGCGGCCUGCUAAGUCGGACGUGAAAUCCCUCGGCUCAACCGAGGAACUGCGUCCGAUACUGGUGGGCUUGAGUCCGGGAGAGGUGAGUGGAAUUGCGGAGUGUAGAGGUGAAAUUCGUAGAUAUUCGCAAGAACACCAGUGGCGAAGGCGGCUCACUGGCCCGGUAACUGACGCUGAGACG
rnacentral:rRNA from 1 species